CCCACUGAGUUUAAGCAUAUAAAUAAGCGGAGGAGAAGAAACUUACAAGGAUUCCCCUAGUAACGGCGAGCGAACCGGGA
rnacentral:rRNA from 1 species